GACGAACGCUGGCGGCGUGCUUAACACAUGCAAGUCGAACGGAAAGGCCCUGCUUUUGUGGGGUGCUCGAUUGGCGAACGGGUGAGUAACACGUGAGUAACCUGCCCUUGACUUUGGGAUAACUUCAGGAAACUGGGGCUAAUACCGGAUAGGAGCUCCUGCUGCAUGUUGGGGGUUGGAAAGUUUCGGCGGUUGGGGAUGGACUCGCGGCUUAUCAGCUUGUUGGUGGGGUAGUGGCUUACCAAGGCUUUGACGGGUAGCCGGCCUGAGAGGGUGACCGGCCACAUUGGGACUGAGAUACGGACCAGACUCCUACGGGAGGCAGCAGUGGGGAAUAUUGCACAAUGGGCGGAAGCCUGAUGCAGCAACGCCGCGUGCGGGAUGACGGCCUUCGGGUUGUAAACCGCUUUCGCAUGUGACGAAGCGUGAGUGACGGUAAUGGGUAAAGAAGCAACGGCUAACUACGUG
rnacentral:rRNA from 1 species